GACAGAGGAUGCAAGCGUUAUCCGGAAUGAUUGGGCGUAAAGCGUAUGUAGGUGGCUUUUUAAGUCUGCCGUCAAAUCCCAGGGCUUAACCCUGGACAGGCGGUGGAAACUACCAAGCUGGAGUACGGUAGGGGCAGAGGGAAUUUCCGGUGGAGCGGUGAAAUGCGUAGAGAUCGGAAAGAACACCAACGGCGAAGGCACUCUGCUGGGCCGACACUGACACUGAGAGACGAAAGCUAGGGGAGCAAAUGGG
rnacentral:rRNA from 1 species